rnacentral:rRNA from 1 species
CCCUUAGAUGUCCUGGGUCGCACGCGCGCUACACUGAUGCAUGCAACGAGUUUAUAACCUUGGCCUGAAAGGUCUGGGUAAUCUUUUGAACGAGCAUCGUGAUAGGGAUAGAUUAUUGCAAUUGUUAAUCUUGAACGAGGAAUUCCUAGUAAACGCGAGUCAUCAGCUCGCAUUGAUUACGUCCCUGCCCUUUGUACACACCGCCCGUCGCACCUACCGAUUGAAUGGUUCGGUGAAGAUCUCGGACUUCGAUAUUUAUUCUUUAUUGAGUUUAUAUUGUGGGAAGUUAUCUAAACCUCAUCAUUUAGAGGAAGGUGAAGUCGUAACA